rnacentral:misc_RNA from 1 species
GUCAGCCUGUUGACCUCACCCCUCCCCACCAUACUAUAGUGACGACAUGUGUUCACCAAUACUCCUCUACUCGACUCGAGCUCUCUAUUUCUUACGUCGCAGUGUCAAAUACUCAAAACAAAGUGUCAUAGUGAAAUUAAAAAUUCUCCACCUCUUUCGAAACCGUAGCGCGAGACAAGGCAAGUCAGUGAACAAGAAAAUAUCAGUGAUCACUACCUUACGAAAGAAAGCAGCCUCCUAAACAGGACAAGCCCUACAAACAUUUCGAAGUGCCUCCUUUGUGGACGUGUGCCAGAAAAUCCGGUGCUCCAAGGGACGGGGGUUUAGGACUCCCGGUGUGUCUCCGCUAGAUGGCACCACCUGUGGCCGUAACAAGCCAUCAAAUCAACCAGGGAGCCGGGAGGUGGCAAAGAUUGGUGAAGGAAGCGUCUUAUAUUUUCCUCCCUGCCGCCCUUCAGGAACGAGGAGUGUCCUAUCGUGGCCCAGUUUGUCACCUGUUCACCUGCCGGAAGUCGUCAAGGUGUGGAAGGAUUGGCCCCAGUGGUUCAGGUGACCAAUGGCUACACACUGAGGAAGCUCCAUGUCAUGCACCUUUCCAAGAUUGCCUUCACUGGCUCAACAGCCAAUGGCAACACACAGUCUGGUUCUGCCCCGUCACACACCCAUGGAAGCAUGAACAGAAUGCCUUGAGUGACUGGUGACAGAUGAGGUUGCAAGAAGCGUGACGACUCAGGGAAUGAGAUGUGUGAAGGAGAGGGCCUGAUCCUGACUAAUGCAAUGGUGGGCACUAGAGACAAGAAGAGAAGACACCCGCAGGCAAGGUCAUGUGUGUGAAACUAAGUUGUAUAAACGAGAAAUUGGGAUGUUAGAAAAUUUGAGGAUGUAUGCAAGAGUGGGAACCUAAAUAUAGUAGUAGGAAUAACUGAGGCACCAGAGGGAUGCAGUGUGAAUGAGAGGAAAGGAGUGUGUAAUGGCAGGAUAGAGACAGAACAGAUUAUUAGCCUUGCACCACAGAAAAUUGAGGAACCUGAGAAAGGAAGAGCCUUUAUGUAAGUAGGAGACGGUGUGGAUGUGUUAGCUGCCCAAGUGGAGUACCUAAAUGAGUGUGGUAGACCUGAGAGGCUAGUGGUAGUGUACAUGACAGCAGCUAGUGGUGAGUGAAGCAAGUGAUAGUGAAUACUAAGUCAGGUGUGAGAAGUAUGAUUCUGUCCUUGAGUGAAUGCUAAAGUCAGGUGUGAGAGGAGUGUGAUUCUGUCCUUGAGAGAGAAAGAUGUGGAAGGUGGCAGAGAAUAAUAGAUUUGUGAAGGGUGAGAGGCUGAAAGUGAAUGAAUGGGGCAGUGGUGAAAGGUAUGGAAGAAAUGAGGAAGGUGAUCAAAUAGUUCUGGGAAAAGAUUGAUGUGUAAGAAAGAUGCAGAUGAAUUGAAUGAAAGAAUCAGCAGGGAGGAGGAGGAAAAAUAUUGAAAAAGCAAAAAAAAAUAGGAAGGUAGCAGGGCUAGAUGAGGUACACUAUGAGAUAUACAAAAAUGAAGUAGUACAUAAUUGAUAGGAUGACGGCUGUUUAACCAGGUGUGUGAGAAGGAGGAGUGUGUGUCAGGAAUGUGGAAUGGAUGCAGAGUGAUUUGCAUA